GGGGGUGUAGCUCACUUGGGAGAGCGCUUGAAUGGCAUUCAAGAGGCAGUCAGUUCGAAUCUGAUCAUCUCCACCA
rnacentral:tRNA from 1 species